UUAACAAAUACUGCAGGUAUUGUAAAUAUCUUAUAUUUUAUUUGAAAAAGUGUUGAAUUUUAUUUUAUUCGCAGGUUCAGAUAUCCAGGGAGAUUGAAAUCCUGUUCCAGAGAAAAAAAGACAGCGUUGCCUUUUCUUCACGGCCAUUUUGAGCGCGUUUUUACAGUGUUUCGACCAUUCGGAACCACGGUCUAAGGUCACUUCGACAAAGGCGAUGGAGUUGAAGCAUCAAUGCCUUCCCGGGGGAGUACCGUUAGUCGCUGAUUGAAUAUCGAUUGGAACCGAAGAAGCCUAAUUGGGAAAAAUUCGCGAUGUCAGAAAUACCUUCGGCAAAAAAUCAAGAAAAAUCCAAAAUCAGUCCGGCUUGGGAGUUCUUUAAAAAAAUUGACGGGA